rnacentral:rRNA from 1 species
CACGCCGUAAACGAUGAUAACUAGCUGUCCGGGUUCAUGGAACUUGGGUGGCGCAGCUAACGCAUUAAGUUAUCCGCCUGGGGAGUACGGUCGCAAGAUUAAAACUCAAAGGAAUUGACGGGGGCCCGCACAAGCGGCGGAGCAUGCGGAUUAAUUCGAUGCAACGCGAAGAACCUUACCAAGGCUUGACAUAUAGAGGAAACGGCCAGAGAUGGUCGCCCCGCAAGGUCUCUAUACAGGUGG